rnacentral:rRNA from 1 species
AACGAACGCUGGCGGCAUGCGUAAUACAUGCAAGUCGAACGAGAUCUUCGGAUCUAGUGGCGCACGGGUGCGUAACGCGUGGGAAUCUGCCCUUGGGUUCGGAAUAACAUCUGGAAACGGAUGCUAAUACCGGAUGAUGACGUAAGUCCAAAGAUUUAUCGCCCAAGGAUGAGCCCGCGUAGGAUUAGCUAGUUGGUGAGGUAAAGGCUCACCAAGGCUACGGUCCUUAGCUGGUCUGAGAGGAUGAUCAGCCACACUGGGACUGAGACACGGCCCAGACUCCUACGGGAGGCAGCAGUAGGGAAUAUUGGACAAUGGGGGCAACCCUGAUCCAGCAAUGCCGCGUGAGUGAUGAAGGCCUUAGGGUUGUAAAGCUCUUUUACCCGAGAUGAUAAUGACAGUAUCGGGAGAAUAAGCUCCGGCUAACUCCGUGCCAGCAGCCGCGGUAAUACGGAGGGAGCUAGCGUUGUUCGGAAUUACUGGGCGUAAAGCGCACGUAGGCGGUUAUUUAAGUCAGAGGUGAAAGCCCGGGGCUCAACCCCGGAACUGCCUUUGAGACUGGAUAACUUGAAUCCAGGAGAGGUGAGUGGAAUUCCGAGUGUAGAGGUGAAAUUCGUAGAUAUUCGGAAGAACACCAGUGGCGAAGGCGGCUCACUGGACUGGUAUUGACGCUG